rnacentral:ncRNA from 1 species
CGGCGAUUGGACACUUUGACCCCCGGGUGCGGGCAGCAGCGGUCACCAGGUUCCGGGGCGAGUGAAUGGUGAGACCGGCCAAUCUGCCG